GUGGGGAAUUUUGGACAAUGGGCGCAAGCCUGAUCCAGCAAUGCCGCGUGCAGGAAGAAGGCCUUCGGGUUGUAAACUGCUUUUGUACGGAACGAAACGGUCCUGGCUAAUACCCGGGGCUAAUGACGGUACCGUAAGAAUAAGCACCGGCUAACUACGUGCCAGCAGCCGCGGUAAUACGUAGGGUGCGAGCGUUAAUCGGAAUUACUGGGCGUAAAGCGUGCGCAGGCGGUGCUGUAAGACAGGCGUGAAAUCCCCGGGCUCAACCUGGGAAUUGCGCUUGUGACUGCAAGGCUGGAGUGCGGCAGAGGGGGAUGGAAUUCCGCGUGUAGCAGUGAAAUGCGUAGAUAUGCGGAGGAACACCGAUGGCGAAGGCAAUCCCCUGGGCCUGCACUGACGCUCAUGCACGAAAGCGUGGGGAGCAAACAGGAUUAGAAACCCCGGUAGUCC
rnacentral:rRNA from 1 species